CAUUCAGCUCUAGUUGUUGCAAAAUGUAAGUUUACAGUGGUGGCACAUCAGACUCACAGUUGUAGUACUCUGCCUGGUAAAUAUUUCCUUUCACCCUGAAAUCUGUGUCCGUCCAUUCUACAAAGGAUUACAAUUUGUCAAGUGACAAAUCCAACCCAUCUGUGGAGAUAUACCACAUUUAAAAAAGAUGUUCUGCAGAUUUUUCCCUUAUUCAGGGUGCCUCUAAUAUACACAUCACUUAAGUUCUUUAUGCCCAGAACCCUCACCAUCAUAAACACUUGGCUUCUCUAAGAGAGCCUUCAGUAGACUACAACAUGAGAGCCAUCUCCUCGUGUGCCAGCUGCUCACAAAGCCUUUUGAAACAUUUCAUCCUGAAGUGACCAGUAUUUACAUACCCUGUACCACUGUUUUCCAAACGUCUGUCUGAAGCAGAGGACUGUAUUGCUGCCGCUCUUAGGGCAAUGUGGCAGUUUUUAUUUACUUGUGAAGAAACCCAGAAAAUUCUACAUUUAUUCUGAAAAAUAGUCACACAUACAAGAACUGGGAAAAAGGCCAUACAAUCAUUGUGAUGGUUAAUGUAUCAUGUUUAUAAAUCAGUGAAAUACAAAGUAUUGGGUAUGUUGUUGCCUUCUCCAAAAUGUUCUCAGUUCUUGUCACAAACCUGUAAGCAACUGAGCAGCUUCUGUCUGUAUCUGAAGUGGAAAACACAUGUUACAUAUAAAUAGUGCAGCCUAAUUUAUAAAGCUUGAGUUUAUAAAAUAGACUGGCUUCUAAGAGUUUCAAGAUAACAAAGAUAGGAUAUGGUAAGAAUAAGGUCUCUUGAUAGUGAUGAUUAGAUGAGAUUCGAAGAGAGCACUAGUUCAUUUCCUUAACCCUCCACACUGUGCCCCCAGUGCUACCCUGCAGUGUCGGAAACUGAACCAGUUCCCUGUGCAUGUUAGUAAGUACCUAGGGCCAAGCUGCCGUCUGUUUUAGAAAUAACCUCGAUGACAUAUACAUGAUAGAUGUACAUCAGUUCUACACUGCAGAAGCAGCUUACGACAUUGGCUGACAGUCACUAAGGAGUUCUCAUGGUGAAGUAUAAAGGUAAAUAUGCAAAUGAGCGCUUGUGCUUUCCACAAUACUAUGCAUUUAAACACUUACGCUUUUAAAGAAGUUCUAAGUUCAUUUAUUUACUAAUGCCUCAAAGAAAGCCUAUCUGCCUUACUUUAUCAUAAAUAUCUUACCUGUUUAUCUUCUUCUGUGUGUGCUGGGUAACUCUUAGCUUUUACCAGCCAGAAUGCAGCAAGCUUUUUGUUGUUUAGCUUCAAGUAUGUCUUUCCUAAAAGCAGCAAGUUUUUGCUGUAGAAGUUUGGAUCCACUGUACAUAAAAAGGAGAAACAAAGUCACCUCCAGAGAAAUAGUGUCUUUAUUUUUAUAGUUUUAAUAUUUUGGUCUGAAUUCUAAUAAAAUUGUGUGAUUAAACAAUG
rnacentral:lncRNA from 1 species